rnacentral:rRNA from 1 species
UACGUAGGGGGCAAGCGUUGUCCGGAAUCAUUGGGCGUAAAGAGCGUGUAGGCGGUCCGGUAAGUCGGCUGUGAAAGUCCAGGGCUCAACCCUGGGAUGCCGGUCGAUACUGCCGGACUAGAGUUCGGAAGAGGCGAGUGGAAUUCCCGGUGUAGCGGUGAAAUGCGCAGAUAUCGGGAGGAACACCUAUGGCGAAGGCAGCUCGCUGGGACGUUACUGACGCUGGAGACGCGAAAGCGUGGGGAGCGAACAGG